rnacentral:misc_RNA from 1 species
GAUGAAGAACGUAGCGAGAUGCGAUAAGUAAUGUGAAUUGCAGAAUUCAGUGAAUCAUCGAAUCUUUGAACGCACAUUGCGCCCGCCAGUAUUCUGGCGGGCAUGCCUGUUCGAGCGUCAUUUCAACCAUCAAGCCCCAGGCUUGUGUUGGGGACCUGCGGCUGCCGCAGGCCCUGAAAACCAGUGGCGGGCUCGCUGUCACACCGGGCGUAGUAGAUUUUAUCUCGCUCAGGGCGUGCUGCGGGUUCCGGCCGUUAAAAAGCCUUUUUUACCCAAGGUUGACCUCGGAUCAGGUAGGAAGACCCGCUGAACUUAAGCAUAUCAAUAAGCGGAGGA